AUUUGCUUUGCAUGUAUUAUCCUACAUAAUUUUUAAUAAAAUGUGAUGAGAUAGGUAUAAAGUUAGCUUUAUUUUAUAGAUGAGGGAAAUGAAGUACAGAGAGAUUAGGUAAUUUGACCAAGGUCACACAGCUAUGAAUUAGAAGAAAUGAGACCCCAGGCAGUCUGAUUCCAGAGAUUUUGCCCCUAAAGACUUUUUUUCUAUGUAUUAUUCCCCCAUUUAAAUGCUCUGAGUCUCCCAUUAACUUGACUGUAGGAUCAGAGUCCAUUCCUCUGACUCAACCCAAGCAAGUCUCCCUGGUACUUUCUAGGAACUUCCAAAAGAGUACCUCUCUCAUGGAACCGCAGUCAAUUCCAUCUGCAGCCAUCCUUCACGUUCUUCUCUAUGCCAAUCACUCUCCGGUUUCCACUGGUUACAAAACCAAUUGAAGGGUUUUUUCCAUCACCUUCCUGAUGAUGCACUUCAUAUACAAGCUAUUACCUCAUAACCUCUGGGACACCAACAAGUGCUGGUUCUAGCAAGACUGGAUAUAUAAUUUGCAGGAUCCAGUGCAAGAUGAAAAUGUGGGGCCUCUUCUUUAACAGUGAUUUAAAUAACUUUAAACAUUAUGUAAAGUCUGCAACAGCAAAGCAUUGAUCAAGCACAGGAUUCCAUGUGAAGUGCUCUAUCAGUAGCAUGCCUGGGGAACUGGUGCUGAGUUCUCUGCAGAGAUGGGAAACACCACGGCCUUUCUGAAUUUGUCACAGCUUAGGCCCCUUUGGGCAUGAAGGCAGGGACCUGGAGCUCAUGGCCUCACACACUUUCUUGUGAAAAUGGGUCCUGCAGCUUCUAGUCUUUAGUCCUCUAGCCAGAUACCAUCAAAUCGGGUCCACAGGGAUGGAGGCACUGAUGCCUUGACACUCCUUCUGCUGUCUCAUCUUUUCUCUCCUUCCAGCAGCAAAACCAAGCCUUUGUGCCUAUCUGUGGUUGUGACCCGUUGGAGAGACAUUGGGAGAUGAGAUACUGUGCUCACUCCUCACGGCUGAACCAAGGACCUGAGAUAUUCCAUUGCUAUCCUGUGAGGAGCUAUGGUGCAUUACUCACGAGUGACAGAACCAACGAGCUUCAUCUCCCAAGAGGCUGGUGCAUCUGUUUAAAAGGAGCAGGCGCUAUGCAGGGCCGCCCCCAUCAACCCCCCCAUGACGAAGUGCAGCGGGGGAAGGUAAGCUGCUUUUCAGUCACGGUGAGGAUGCAUCACGCAUUGAUUCUAUGCUCACUCUACUCCCACUCCCCAAAAGGAGAGGAUCAAGUCCAGUUGUGUUCUAGUAGCAGGACCGCAGGAGAAGAGGCAG
rnacentral:lncRNA from 1 species